GAGCUGCCUGGUGCUGAUCGUGGCUUGUCCGCUGGCCCAGCUACUUGUUUCGAGUGGUGAAGCCGUGAAGGGUUUCGCCAUGGUUGGCAAGGGCAGCCUGGAGCACCUCCAGAAUGAGUAGUACUACGUGAGUUGCAAGGUGUACUCACCAUCUUCUCUUUGAUUUGAUUUGGUGUGGUUCGAUUCAUUGAUGUGGGAUAACGAAAGGGCUAUCCUUCUUGUUUUAUCAAAAGUUUUGGGAGGUGGUAAAAACAGAUAUUAUGGCCCUUUUGUCUGAUUUUUUCGAGGGAAAAUUGGAUAUUUUUAGGAUUAUUUUUGCUGUACUUUCAAUUAUCCCAAAAGAACCGGAUGCCUUCUGUAAAGUUUUUGCUGUACUUCUGUAUGGAUAAUUGCUAAUAAUUUGAUCCCUUGGCUAACAAAUUAGAUUAAAACAUUUUGUAUUUAACCCUUGUCAAGAACCCAUGCUGGCACAAAUGGAGCUCUUCACUCAAACGGGUGCUGCAUCUGGUCAAGUCCCCUUGUGCCUUGCCGUGGGGGUGAUUGAUGCUAGGCAUGAUGCUUCUUUGAUCACCUCCUAGCUGAGUUCUCUCUCGCCGUUCCUGUCACCCCUUCGACUCCAUGCAGCGUCGCCAAGGUCUCUACAAGCUUCGUAAUGUCUCUGUUCUGGUACUCUAGGUGGUGGUAGCCGCAGAUGCACCUGCUGCCUCCGGAAGUCACAAGGGCAAAGCUCCAGGCAAUGCUUGAUCACCACAUGAGUGCAGCAAAGCAAUGACUCUGAUCACUUGUAGUCUCUUAGUCCUGGAACUGUCAAUGUUCAUCUUUAGUUUUCGGGACUGAACUUGUAGCCUUUUUCUUUCUUUUCUUUCUUGCUCUGUUUCUAGCUUUAAAUCUGAGAUAUGUGGCCUUUGCCAAAACAUGGUUUCAUUUAAGAAGGGAGCCCUCUUGAUCGAAAAACACGUCCUGAUGCGUUUCGGUUUGGGUUGCAGGAGCUAGCGGUGCUGAUCGUGGCUUGCCCGCUUGCCCAACUACAUGCUGGAGUGGUGCGGGCAGUUUGCACAUUGCACCUGCAUAUUUUUUAUUUUACUAUUUGCUUCAAUUCAAAUAUUAUGUGUUUUGAGAGUGUUUACCGGGAUUGGUCAUCUGGUAUUGCGCUAGCCGUCAUUCUUUGAUUUAGUCAUCACAUGCUUACCUUUGCCUAUUAUUAGCAUAGGAAUAUAAUGUUUGAACUUUGAACUGCUUAUCUAACCUGUGUAAUGCAUCUGUAUGCUAAUAAUUUGAUCCCUUGGCUAAGGAAUUAGAUUAAAAUAUUAUAUAUAUAUAUAUUAUCACUUAUUUAUGGUGGAAGUGAUAAGUAUACAGAACAUGUGCUACACCUGCCUCCCCUAGAACAUAAGGUCUCCGAUAGCGCAUAUUUACUUGAUGCAUCUGUAUGUGUUCUAAGAUGGUAUCGCUUAUGUUUUGGUUAUCUUUGAUUUAAUCUUGGAAAUUCUAUGGAAUUGUGUACGAAGAUAUGUGAUUUCCCAUAGCUCUAUUGGUGACUUUAACGAUUGAUUUUGAUCUGUAUGAUCUGGUUCUGAUGAUCACUAUUUAUAUAGUGAGAAAUAGCUCUUAUUUGUUGUGGUUCUAGUUUUGGUUGGGGAGAGAAUAGCUUUGCUUUUUUAUGGUUCUGAUGAUAGCAUGAAUAAUAAGAAGAGAAUACUACUACACAUGUGGUCUGUUUUUCACUAUUUCUGUUGAGUUGUCAAGCAGAUAGGCUGCAGUAUCCAUGGUCAUAUAUUUUUCACUUUAUUUGCAGCUAGAGCUCUUUCUUGUCACUCUCAAAUAUUGCCAAUGAUCCUUAAGAAUCAUGCUUAUUUCUGAAGAAUGUCGUGCUGUAUUUGUUUCCUCAAUAGGUUUUCCUUAUGUUUUCCUUAUGUUAAUUACGGCACUUUUGUCUCUUGGCUGCAAUGGUUUGGAAAUGGCAUGGAUACCAGUGGAAAGGGCAGCCCGUAGCGUCUCCAUAAGGAGUAGCACGUGAUCUGCAAGGUGAGCUGCCAAUUUCAUAUUCCUUUUUGUUCGGCGUGGUUGAUGGACCCCGGUUGGGUAGCAGGAGCCGCUGGUGCUGAUUGUGGGUUGCUUGUUUGCCCAGCGACAUGUUGGAGUGGCGUAGGUAGUAUCCCCUGCUUGAUUGCACCUGUAUACUUA